GUAGGUGAACCUGCGGAAGGAUCAUCAAUAAAUCCAAAUUAUUCACCCUUGUGAACUGUGUGCUGGAGUCGAUGCGUUUCGCUCGAUUCUCAUGGCGCUUUCAUGGUCGUAGAUUAGUUAAAGGUUUAACUGCUACGAGCUUGUUUUCGUUUAUUCACGAUAGUGGUACUUUUUGCGAGAGUUCUCGCAAAGCUGUGCCAAUAUUUUGCUUAAGCCUGAAUUUGCUUGGUUAGAUUCUUUACUUUUCGGC
rnacentral:misc_RNA from 1 species